CCCCCCCCCAGAGCACAGCUCUUUCGCCUGGAGGGGGUGAUCUGAGAGGGCCCCUCAGCCGCGGCUGUUUGAAUGAAGGGUCACAAAAAUCCUUGCAGGAGACUGCUUUCUAUACUCUUCUGGGACAGGUGGGCACUCGGGACCCUAGAGCUGCGAGUGCAGCUGGGGAAGGUCGUGAUGGCUAGGGCCUCGGCUGGGCCCUCUCUUUCCCACUUUCAAUUUUCCUGACCUCUGGCCUCAGAGCUUCGUCCACAGUAGUUGCUUAGUAAGUGCUUGGGGCCUCUCCCUUGCUAGCCUGAGCACUCAGGUGUGAGUAUUUGGGUGUGUGUGUGUGUGUGUGUGUGUGUGGAGGAGAGUGUGUUCUUGGCUCUGAGCCAGCACUUAGGAUAACAAACAUCUUGGGGUGGGGGUGGGGGUGGAGUGGGGGUGGGGUGGGGCUGUCCCGGAAGGAAGCACUGGCUAACUCCAGGGCUAUUUGGGGCUGGGGCUGGGUUGAGGUCCUUCCUCUUUCCCUGCCCGAGGUGGAACCGAAGGAGUAAGGUGUUGCUGAGCAGAGAAGCCCUGGCUGGAGGUGGACCCUGAACUCAGCGAGGUGCCCAGCCCAGUUGCACGGCCAGGUUGUAACACCGCAGUGCAGACCCAGCGGGCUCCCUGAACCUCUCCCACCCCUCUGUCCGGAGGCAGCGCCACUCCAGAAGGCCAGUGUCUUCCUGGCUCUGCUUUUCUCAUUUGGCUGCAUGUAUUCCUGGGUUCCCGGGAGCCACUUGAGGUCCCUGGACACAGCUUCAGAUCUUGCGCUGGCAGCACACGGGGACACAGCAGCUGGACUGGGAGCAGCCACAGGAGCCGCAGCUGGAGCAGGAGCAGGCGGGCACACAGCAGCAGACGGGCUUGCAGCAGCUGGAGCCGCAGCCAGAGCCACAGCCCCCACAGGAGCCGCAGCCCCCUUUGCCGCAGCUGGAGCAGGAGCAGGCGGGCACACAGCAGCAGAUGGGCACACAGCAGCUGGAGCCACAGCCAGAGCCACAGCCCCCACAGGAGCCGCAGCCCCCUUUAGACCCCCCACAGGAGCCGCAGCCCCCCUUAGACCCCCCGCAGGAGCCGCAGCCCCCCUUGGAGCCCCCGCAGGAGCCGCAGCCCCCUUUGCCGCAGCUGGAGCAGGAGCAGGCUGGCACACAGCAGCAGACGGGCUUGCAGCAGCUGGAGCCACAGCCUCCACACGAGCCGCAGCCCCCCUUAGACCCCCCGCAGGAGCCGCAGCCCCCCUUGGAGCCCCCACAGCUGGAGCCACAGCCCCCUUUGCCGCAGCUGGAGCAGGAGCAGGCUGGCACACAGCAGCAGACGGGCACACAGCAGCUGGAGCCGCAGCCCCCACAGCUGGAGCCGCAGCCCCCACAGCUGGAGCCGCAGCCUCUGGAACAGCCAGAGCAGCCCAUGGUUCUGGUGGGUUGAGGGUGGAGUAGGUCAGAGGAGCAGGUGGAGAGAGAGAAGCGGCUCAGUGUGGGGCCUCCGGGGCCGGGAGCCUCUAUAUACCUGCCGGGGCAGGUGUGACUUGGGCACAUGCUCACUUCCUGGUUCCCAUCUGUGCUGUGUCUUGUUUGUGGGCCUGGAAUCCAUGGGCUUCUGUUGACUUUUCCCAGCAGACACCCUCCUAGGUUUCUAAGUCUGGCUUCUUCCCUGUCUUGUUUGUUUCCUGUAAAAAGGAACAGUCCAGCUUUGUGCUAUUUCCAGUUUUCUGUUGACUACAUAUAACUGGG
ensembl:lincRNA